UACGAAGGGGGCUAGCGUUGUUCGGAAUUACUGGGCGUAAAGCGCACGUAGGCGGGCGAUUAAGUCAGGGGUGAAAUCCCGGAGCUCAACUCCGGAACUGCCUUUGAUACUGGAGAGCUUGAGUCCGGGAGAGGUGAGUGGAACUGCGAGUGUAGAGGUGAAAUUCGUAGAUAUUCGCAAGAACACCAGUGGCGAAGGCGGCUCACUGGCCCGGUACUGACGCUGAGGUGCGAAAGCGUGGGGAGCAAACAGG
rnacentral:rRNA from 1 species